AGUCGAACGAGAAAGUGAUUUUCGGAUCGCGAGUAAAGUGGCGAACGGUUUAGUAACGCGUGGGCAAUCUGCCCUCGAGUGGGGGAUAACAUUCCUAACGGGAUGCUAAUACCGCAUAAUAUCGCGUGGCCGCAUGGCCGUGUGAUCAAAGAUGGCCUCUGCUUGCAAGCUGUCGCUUGAGGAUGAGCCCGCGUACCAUUAGCUUGUUGGUGGGGUAACGGCCUACCAAGGCAGCGAUGGUUAGCCGGCCUGAGAGGGUGUCCGGCCACACUGGGACUGAGAUACGGCCCAGACUCCUACGGGAGGCAGCAGUAGGGAAUCUUGCGCAAUGGGGGAAACCCUGACGCAGCAACGCCGCGUGGGUGAUGAAGCUCUUCGGAGCGUAAAACCCUGUCAGGAGGGAAGAACUGGUCACCGACCCAACACGUCGGCGACGUGACGGUACCUCCAGAGGAAGCUCCGGCUAACUCCGUGCCAGCAGCCGCGGUAACACGGGGGGAGCGAGCGUUGUUCGGAA
rnacentral:rRNA from 1 species